rnacentral:rRNA from 1 species
UUGAACGCUGGCGGCAUGCUUUACACAUGCAAGUCGAACGGCAGCACGGGGGCAACCCUGGUGGCGAGUGGCGAACGGGUGAGUAAUAUAUCGGAACAUAUCCGGGAGUGGGGGAUAACGUAGCGAAAGUUACGCUAAUACCGCAUAUGCCCUGAGGGGGAAAGUGGGGGAUCGCAAGACCUCACGCUUUCGGAGUGGCCGAUAUCGGAUUAGCUAGUUGGUGGGGUAAAGGCCCACCAAGGCGACGAUCCGUAGCUGGUCUGAGAGGACGACCAGCCACACUGGGACUGAGACACGGCCCAGACUCCUACGGGAGGCAGCAGUGGGGAAUUUUGGACAAUGGGCGCAAGCCUGAUCCAGCCAUGCCGCGUGAGUGAAGAAGGCCUUCGGGUUGUAAAGCUCUUUCAGACGGAAAGAAAUCGGGCGCGUGAAUAGCGUGCCUGGAUGACGGUACUGUCAGAAGAAGCACCGGCUAACUACGU